GUUUUGGUGGUGAAAUGGUAGACACACGAGACUUAAAGUCUCGUGCUAAAAAGUGUGGAAGUUCGAAUCCUCUUCAAGACA
rfam:Arabis alpina cultivar Pajares Aa.chr8_contig_241, whole genome shotgun sequence.